AACGAACGCUGGCGGCAGGCCUAACACAUGCAAGUCGAGCGAAGCCUUCGGGCUUAGCGGCGGACGGGUGAGUAACGCGUGGGAACGUGCCCUUUGGUACGGAAUAGCCCCGGGAAACUGGGAGUAAUACCGUAUGUGGUCGAGAGACGAAAGAUUUAUCGCCAAAGGAUCGGCCCGCGUUGGAUUAGGUAGUUGGUGGGGUAAUGGCCUACCAAGCCGACGAUCCAUAGCUGGUUUGAGAGGAUGAUCAGCCACACUGGGACUGAGACACGGCCCAGACUCCUACGGAAGGCAGCAGUGGGGAAUCGUAGACAAUGGGGGAAACCCUGAUCUAGCCAUGCCGCGUGAUCGAUGAAGGCCUUAGGGUUGUAAAGAUCUUUCAGUGGGGAAGAUAAUGACUGUACCCACAGAAGAAGCCCCGGCUAACUCCGUGCCAGCCGCCGCAGUAACAC
rnacentral:rRNA from 1 species